rnacentral:rRNA from 1 species
GUUGAACGCUGGCGGCAUGCCUUACACAUGCAAGUCGAACGGCAGCAUGAUCUAGCUUGCUAGAUUGAUGGCGAGUGGCGAACGGGUGAGUAAUACAUCGGAACGUGCCCUGUAGUGGGGGAUAACUAGUCGAAAGAUUAGCUAAUACCGCAUACGACCUGAGGGUGAAAGUGGGGGACCGCAAGGCCUCAUGCUAUAGGAGCGGCCGAUGUCUGAUUAACUAGUUGGUGAGGUAAAGGCUCACCAAGGCGACGAUCAGUAGCUGGUCUGAGAGGACGAUCAGCCACACUGGGACUGAGACACGGCCCAGACUCCUACGGGAGGCAGCAGUGGGGAAUUUUGGACAAUGGGGGCAACCCUGAUCCAGCAAUGCCGCGUGUGUGAAGAAGGCCUUCGGGUUGUAAAGCACUUUUGUCCGGAAAGAAAUCGCACUUACUAAUAUUAGGUGUGGAUGACGGUACCGGAAGAAUAAGGACCGGCUAACUACGUGCCAGCCGCCGCCGUAAAAC